UACGGAGGGUGCGAGCGUUAAUCGGAAUUACUGGGCGUAAAGGGCGCGUAGGCGGCUGAUCAAGUCAGGUGUGAAAGCCCACGGCUUAACCGUGUGAAGUGCAUCUGAAACUGGUCGGCUUGAGUAUCGGAGAGGAAAGUGGAAUUCCUGGUGUAGCGGUGAAAUGCGUAGAUAUCAGGAGGAACACCGGUGGCGAAGGCGGCUUCCUGGACCGAUACUGACGCUGAGGCGCGAAAGCGUGGGUAGCAAACAGGAUUAGAAACCCGAGUAGU
rnacentral:rRNA from 1 species